AGCGAACGCUGGCGGCAGGCUUAACACAUGCAAGUCGAGCGGGCACUUUCGGGUGUCAGCGGCGGACGGGUGAGUAACGCGUGGGAACGUGCCCUCUGGUUCGGAAUAACUCAGGGAAACUUGAGCUAAUACCGGAUACGCCCUUUUGGGGAAAGGCUUGCUGCCGGAGGAUCGGCCCGCGUCUGAUUAGCUAGUUGGUGAGGUAACGGCUCACCAAGGCGACGAUCAGUAGCUGGUCAGAGAGGAUGAUCAGCCACACUGGGACUGAGACACGGCCCAGACUCCUACGGGAGGCAGCAGUGGGGAAUAUUGGACAAUGGGCGCAAGCCUGAUCCAGCCAUGCCGCGUGAGUGAUGAAGGCCUUAGGGUUGUAAAGCUCUUUUAUCCGGGACGAUAAUGACGGUACCGGAGGAAUAAGCCCCGGCUAACUUCGUG
rnacentral:rRNA from 1 species